UUUAACUACUUUUUAUUUUGUGGAUAAUCUAAUGACGAUACCUCAAAGCUAUUUUCCAAGAGAAAUGAAAUACUAAAGAACUGAGGAGCAGAACCAAACCUGCAUUUUUUUAGAUAUYGAACUGCUUUGUUCAGACAAAACAUGUAGAAUGUUCUGCAAGUUGUCUCAAGGGACCUUCUGUGAUUUUUAAAGAGCUCCAGAUCACUAAUAUGAGGGCAACCCAUUCUCACUUCCAGCCACAAAAGCAGGAAAAGGAAAUGAAGGAACAGACGAGGCUGUGGGCAAGAUCUAUGUAUAUCAUUCAUACAACUGCACAUCUUCAAG
rnacentral:lncRNA from 1 species